rnacentral:rRNA from 1 species
GCAAGGGAUCUUGUGCAAUGGGCGAAAGCCUGACACAGUGACACCGCGUGGAGGAUGAAGGCCUUCGGGUCGUAAACUCCUUUUCUCAGGGAAGAAUAAUGACGGUACCUGAGGAAUAAGCCUCGGCUAACUACGUGCCAGCAGCCGCGGUAAUACGUAGGAGGCAAGCGUUAUCCGGAUUUACUGGGCGUAAAGCGCGCGCAGGCGGCCUUUUAAGUCGGAUGUUAAAUCUCCCGGCUCAACUGGGAGCGGCCAUCCGAUACUGUUAGGCUAGAGGACGGCAAGGGGAAGUGGAAUUCCCGGUGUAGUGGUGAAAUACAUAGAUAUCGGGAGGAACACCAGUGGCGAAAGCGGCUUUCUGGGCCGUUUCUGACGCUGAGGCGCGAAAGCGUGGGGAGCAAACAGGAUCAGAUACCCGUGUAGUCC